AGCCUGUGCUUGCCCCCUUUGUUUCUCCUACAUGAGGAGGGCGGCACACCCCUGCCUGGCUGCAGAGGGCUAAGCCCCAAAUACUGGAGUUAGCAGGUUGUGAUGGCUCUGAGUAGCUUCCCCUGAGUGGGAGCAGCCUAAGCUGGCUGGGGAGGACAGGAAUACAAACCUGAGCAGCCUGGUGCUGUGACAUGGCUAUGUGCUGGGAUGCAGCAGCUGCCUAUGCCAGCCUUGGGAGAGCUCAGCCUUGAAUGAAAUCAGGUUUUCUUCCUGUGGCUGGAGGAACCCAGCAACACGAGCCUUCGUCAGUGGCAAACAGUGAGGUCAUUACAGACUGGGAAGAAAAGAAUGAGCUGCUAUGCAUCAUGGUAAUACCAGGGCUACAUCGGGCUUCAGAGCUACAUUGCAGUGUCCUGAUGUUGCUGGAAUUUCUAUAACAAGGCCAGAAUGCUGUUCACU